rnacentral:rRNA from 1 species
GAUGAACGCUGGCGGCGUGCUUAACACAUGCAAGUCGUACGGUAAGGCCCUUUCGGGGGUACACGAGUGGCGAACGGGUGAGUAACACGUGAGUAACCUGCCCACAACUUUGGGAUAACGCUAGGAAACUGGUGCUAAUACUGGAUAUGUGCUCCUGCUGCAUGGUGGGGGUUGGAAAGCUCCGGCGGUUGUGGAUGGACUCGCGGCCUAUCAGCUUGUUGGUGGGGUAGUGGCCUACCAAGGCGGCGACGGGUAGCCGGCCUGAGAGGGUGACCGGCCACAUGGGGACGGAGAGACGGCCCAGACUCCUACGGGAGGCAGCAGUGGGGAAUAUUGCACAAUGGGCGCAAGCCUGAUGCAGCAACGCCGCGUGCGGGAUGACGGCCUUCGGGUUGUAAACCGCUUUCAGCAGGGACGAAGCUUUUUGUGACGGUACCUGCAGAAGAAGCACCGGCUAACUACG